CCGGUUCUUUGUCCGGCGAGGACACACCAUUGCGUCAGAUCUCCAGUUCCCCUUCACUCCUCGUCUCUGUCUUCAUACUCUUCUCGAACCGCCGCUUCAUCUUCGAUGAACGACGCGUACGCCAGAUCCGUCUCCGAGGUUCUCGAAGAAUUUGGUGUAGAUCCAACCAAGGGUCUUACUGAUUUCCAGGUUGCCGAGAAUGCGUAGAUAUAUGGCAGAAACGUACUGCCUCAAGAAGAAAUUGUGUGGUCUAUCAUUCUGAGCAACAACUGUUUGUAAAGCUGUGGUCUCUUUCUGAGUAGUCCAUCCGAAAGUAAAAAGACUCGGCAUUUUGGAAGCUUCACCACCAUUAUAUGCAGUAUUUUGAU